UCCCGAGAGACCGAUAGUGAACCAGUACUGUGAAGGAAAGGUGAAAAGCACUUCGAACAGAAGAGUGAAAUAGUACCUGAAACCGUGCGCCUACAAGCGGUUGGAGCUCCUUAAGGAGUGACAGCGUGCCUUUUGCAUAAUGAACCUACGAGUUACCGUGUCCGGCAAGGUUAAGGGUCAUGAGACCCGGAUCCGAAGCGAAAGCGAGUCUGAAGAGGGCGUCAAGUCGGAUGCGGUAGACGCGAAACCAAGUGAUCUACCCUUGGCCAGGAUGAAGUCUGGGUAACACCAGAUGGA
rnacentral:rRNA from 1 species